GACGAACGCUGGCGGCGUGCUUAACACAUGCCAGUCGAACGGGAUCCGGGCUUUCGGGUUUGGUGAGAGUGGCGAACGGGUGAGUAACACGCGAGUAACCUGCCCCCUUCUUUGGGAUAACGUCGGGAAAUCGGCGCUAAUACUGGAUAUUCUUGCUGCAUCGCCUGGUGUGGUUUGGAAAGGGUUUCUGGUGGGGGAUGGGUUCGCGGCCUAUCAGCUUGUGGGUGGGGUGAUGGCCUACCAAGGCUUUGACGGGUAGCCGGCCGGAGAGGGUCUCCGGCGGCACUGGGACUGGGACACGGCCCAGACGGCUACGAGAAGCAGCGGAGGGGAAGAUAGGGCAAUGAGCGCAAGCCUGAUGCAGCGACGCCGCGUGAGAGAUGACGGCAUUCGGGUUGUAAGCCACUUGCAGUAUGGAACAAGGAUCCUUCGUGUGGAGGGUUUGAGGGUACGUGCAGAAGAAGCGCCGGCUAACUACGUG
rnacentral:rRNA from 1 species